rnacentral:rRNA from 1 species
CCUGAGAGGGCGACCGGCCACACUGGGACUGAGACACGGCCCAGACUCCUACGGGAGGCAGCAGUGGGGAAUAUUGCACAAUGGGCGAAAGCCUGAUGCAGCGACGCCGCGUGAGGGAUGACGGCCUUCGGGUUGUAAACCUCUUUCAGCAGGGAAGAAGCGAAAGUGACGGUACCUGCAGAAGAAGCGCCGGCUAACUACGUGCCAGCAGCCGCGGUAAUACGUAGGGCGCAAGCGUUGUCCGGAAUUAUUGGGCGUAAAGAGCUCGUAGGCGGCUUGUCACGUCGGGUGUGAAAGCCCGGGGCUUAACCCCGGGUCUGCAUCCGAUACGGGCAGGCUAGAGUGUGGUAGGGGAGAUCGGAAUUCCUGGUGUAGCGGUGAAAUGCGCAGAUAUCAGGAGGAACACCGGUGGCGAAGGCGGAUCUCUGGGCCAUUACUGACGCUGAGGAGCGAAAGCGUGGGGAGCGAACAGGAUUAGAUACCCUGGUAGUCCACGCCGUAAACGUUGGGAACUAGGUGUUGGCGACAUUCCACGUCGUCGGUGCCGCAGCUAACGCAUUAAGUUCCCCGCCUGGGGGAGUACGGA